GGGGAAGGGCCAUAGCUCAGUGGUAGAGCACCUGCUUUGCAUGCAAAAGGUUCCAGGUUCAGUCCCCAGCUUCUUCA
rnacentral:tRNA from 1 species